rnacentral:rRNA from 1 species
GACGAACGCUGGCGGCGUGCUUAACACAUGCAAGUCGAACGGAAAGGCCCUGCUUUUGUGGGGUGCUCGAGUGGCGAACGGGUGAGUAACACGUGAGUAACCUGCCCUUGACUUUGGGAUAACUUCAGGAAACUGGGGCUCAUACCGGAUAGGAGCUCCUGCUGCAUGGUGGGGGUUGGAAAGUUUCGGCGGUUGGGGAUGGACUCGCGUCUUAUCAGCUUGUUGGUGGGGUAGUGGCUUACCAAGGCUUUGAAGGGUAGCCGGCCUGAGAGGGUGACCGGCCACAUUGGGACUGAGAUACGGCCCAGACUCCUACGGGAGGCAGGAGUGGGGAAUAGUGCACAAUAGGAGGAAGCCUGAUGCAGCAACGCCGCGUGCGGGAUGACGGCCUUCGGGUUGUAAACCGCUUUCGCCUGUGACGAAGCGUGAGUGACGGUAAUGGGUAAAGAAGCACCGGCUAACUACGUG